CAUUUUAUUUUGCUUAUUUAUGUUGCAUUUGUGUUUUAACACUAAUACUAAUCGUCAAAUCUCCUAUCCUAUGGGUUCGACUUUUUGCUAUUUUCGAUAUCAAUAUUCAAUUGAAACCCGAUUAAUUUGUGAAAGACGCAAAACCCUAACUUUCUCUCUCCUUUGAGACGUAGCCACCAGCGUCGCGCCGUUCAUUUGGCCGGCGUGAAUCGUGAGGUGAGAUAUUGCUGUCGAAGAGCGCUUCGAUAACAUCCAUUUGACGCUGGUUUAGCUCCCGAAGAUGUCGACUUGCAGAACUACUUCCAAACUCUGACGCUAUAUAUGUUUGAAGAUUGGUCCUAGGAAGCUGCUGCUACCACCAUUAAAGCCUCGUUAAGGUAGUAAAUGGUGUUUCGCGGAGCUCGAUGAUGAAGAAACGAGCUAUCAACGCACAGAUCUGGAACUCUCGAUGUCUGAUUUUAUUUUAAAUGAGUCAUGGAACAGGCCACAGACCAGCACUUCCAGAAAGAUGGUCACUUCCAGCAGUGGGUGACAAAAAUGCCGUUUUCUGAACUGGUUUCUUGGGCAGUAAAUUCCAUUGGUGCUUACUGCUGGACUCUUUUUCAUUAGGUUGGUCCGCUUCCAUCUGAUUUUCAAUAAGUAACUCUUACAUGGCUAACUUUCAUAUUUUUAUCUUUUCUUUUUGUGACAUGUACUUUGAUCAUGUUUAUCUUGACUCCAUUGCUUUCUCAAACAUUAUUUCCGUAGACUAUUUGCAUUUCCUUGAUAGAACGGGAGCUAUUCUUGAAAUUAUCAUCAUUUGGUGAUGCUAAAUUGUUAAUGCUUGAUGUGUUGUCGUGCUUGUGUGUCUGUGUUUGAAAUAUCUGACACACUGUUGUUCUGUAGAGUUUUUAUACGAAAUAAAUAAAAAUAAAAACAAACUGGACAAAGGUUUAACAACUAGUUUUUGUUUACUUACAGAAAUUAUUAAAAUGAUUAUCUCUUCAAUGUUGGUGUUGUCUAAGGAUAAGAUUACCAUCUUUGUUUCUUGGUGAUCAAGGUAGAUCUAGCUAUUGAAAUGUUUCUCUCUUUUAUGUCAGUGGGAACUUCAACAAUUAGAUGUGUUAGAAUUUUGAUGACACUCAGAUUUAUUGUUAUACAUGGAACCUUUAGAAUGGAUGUUCUUGUUUUGUGGAAUAUGGUACUUGAUCGAGCAGGAUCAUUUGGCAGUAUGUGAGUGAAUCUAGAAGAUGGUACAAAAUUUUAGAUUCUGAUAAGUGUUUUAGACUUUGAUAUGUAACUUGUUGUGUGGAAUAAGACUACUUACUAUGAGAACACUUAAAAAUAAUUAGUACCAUAUGCUUUUUGAGAUGUAUAUGGUUAACUUUAUUUCUUAACAAAAAUGGGUAGUGGUUUAUGUGAGUACUAAAAGUGGGUUAAUUGCAAGUUUUGCGAUUGGUUGCAAUAUUUGAAAUAAUUGGUUUUAUUAGUAAAUUUUGUGAUUUUUUGAAUGAGUGGAUAAUGCUAGACUUGCGAAGUGGAGCACGAAGAUCGAAGAGGGAUAGUGAUCUUCAGUACCCUGCCCCCUUAAUUGAAUGACCAUGGUGAACAUUUUCUUACACCUACCCAAAACAAAACGGGGCGAGGAAGUGGUGGCAGAGGGAGAGGAGCAAGGGUUGUUAGGCAAGCUUGUGGUGUUGGUCGAGGUCGGCCUGUUAGAGUGAUAGAUUUAGACCCUGAUGUUCCGAAAUAAGGCCUUCCUCAAGUUCCGGAUAUAGCCACUCACAAUCAAGUGAAGGGUUCUAGUGGUAAAGAUAUUGCAAUGGAGUGAGGAAACAUAGAUAAGAUGGUGGCUUUUGAAGAGGAAUCUAAACUAACAUCUCGUACUGAAAUGGUAUAUUAUCGUUUCUUUUACAAUGGUUUGGAUCUUUGUCACUCCAAACGUCAUUACUAUCUCUGAGCUUUGAUCGAUCUGCUUGCUUGGAUCUUUGUCACUCAAACAGUGAACUUUCAGAUCAAUGUAUGUAUGUUUUUAAAAUGCAAUGCCCAAUUUCACUAAAGAAUUUACUUUUAUUUGACAGCCAUAUUCCAAACAGAUUUUCACCCUGGUUUCUUACUGUUGGAUUCUCACCUCACAACGGGUAUGAAAGACAUUGCAUCUGAUUUUAAGUUUCUCAUUUUAGGUUAUGUUUAUUUCGGUAUCCGAAGUUUGAAUGUAUGAUCGAUGUUGUAAUUUUUUAGCUUGAUGAGCUAAUUAGAGUUCAAAUAUGGUAUUACCAAUCACUUUAAAUGAUUACCUUUUUUGUUAA